rnacentral:lncRNA from 1 species
UUGUCCCCAUGUCCGUGUCCCUGGGGGAGGGCAGCUAUUUCCGAGUGUCUCUUCAGGGACAGCAGACCCACUGGAUGAGGGCCCGAAAAUGGUUUCAGCACCUGUGUCAGAGCAGAACGCAACCGGCGCCAGGGUCCCGGGGAGAGAGGCAGCAGGAAGUGAGGCUGAGGGGCUGUCUGUGUCGCGCAGGGAGCCGGGCAGGGCUGUUUUCCAUGGCUGCCGGCCCUCUCCUUAGAUGAGUACACAGCUGCUUUUCACAGCGCUCAGCCUGCCCUCCUGGAGGGAUCAUUUGAGGAGAAAAUCCAUCUCAACAUCCACAUGUUGUGUAUCACUUGAACGCGGGGCAGGGCAAGGAAGACCAAAGCUCCCCCACUUUCAGGAGGCGACUCCUCCUUCUUUGCUGGACAGGGGCGAACAGGAACCACGUUGGCUCUGGAAGUUCACAGGGCAGUGGAUCAGGGCUCAGGAGGAAGAAGAUGGUGCAGCCGCAGGCACUUCUGAGUGACGAGAGGCAGGCAUGCGUUGAAGGUGAUCUGCAGGGCACUCACACACAGGGCUUGGCAAGGUCCCGCAGUCGUGGGGAACGUGGAAGUUCUGACCCAGGCCUUCUGUCACCGGUCCCAAGCCCACGUCGUUUCUGCGACAGCGUGACUGACCAGUAAGUCAUCUGCUUACCAAUGUCCCCCGAGCCAAGGACAGCGAUGGAAAGCCGUGCGGUAUCACUCCGGAAGAGGAAAGUCGGUGGCCUUUUAAGCAGGAUGAAGUCAAUCCUACAGGCCACAUGGUUUGCCACGUGGCACAUGCCUCCCCCUGUGACCUCAUUCAAUCCCUGCAGAGCCCCUGGCGGCCAUCGUCGUACGGUUGGCACCAGCAUGGACUCCAGAGCCCACCACCUGGCUUAUGGCCCCAGCUCUGCCCUCAUUAGCGGUGGAACCUGGCCAGCAACUUAAGCUCUCCAUGCCUCCGUUUCUUCAUCCAUAAAAUAAGAAUAGCACUGGUACCCCUGCGCAGGGCUGCUGCGAGAAUCAAGGUGCCUCGCUGGAACUUAACGUGAGGGGAGCCAGUGUGGUCUGUGGAGGCUCCUUUGAGCAGGUGACAUCUGAGCUGCCCUCUGAAGAUAACAAGGAUCCAGACAUGACGGGGAGAAGGAGACGCUGCAGGCAGAGGACAAAGUUAAGGACGCAGUACUCCUCCCCUCUGAAGGGCACAGCAACAAGGCGCCACCGUGGAAGCAGGGUCCAGGCCCUCACCUGACAUGAAGCCUGCCAGGACCUUGAUCUUGGACAUCCCAGCCUCCAGAGCAGGAAGUUGGAUUUGUCUCCUACUCCAUAGAAGAAAUAGAGGCCAUCAGAUAAGAAUUUCCUCAACUUGGCCAGGUGUGGUGGCUCACUCCUGUAAUCCCAGCACUUCGAGAGGCCGAGGCGGAUGGAUCACGAGGUCAGGAGAUCGAGACCAUCCUGGCUAACCUGGUGAAACUCCGUCUCUACUAAAAAUACAAAAAAUUAGCUGGGCGUGGUGGCAGACGCCUGUACUCCCAACUACUUGGGAGGCUGAGGCAGGAGAAUGGCAUGAACCCAGGAGGUGGAGCUUGCAGUGAGCUGAGAUUGCACCACUGCCCUCCAGCCUGGGUGACAGAGCAAGACACCAUCU